GAGACAGCAGCCGCCGCGGUAAUACAGAGGGUGCGAGCGUUAAUCGGAUUUACUGGGCGUAAAGCGUGCGUAGGCGGCUUCUUAAGUCGGAUGUGAAAUCCCUGAGCUUAACUUAGGAAUUGCAUUCGAUACUGGGAAGCUAGAGUAUGGGAGAGGAUGGUAGAAUUCCAGGUGUAGCGGUGAAAUGCGUAGAGAUCUGGAGGAAUACCGAUGGCGAAGGCAGCCAUCUGGCCUAAUACUGACGCUGAGGUACGAAAGCAUGGGGAGCAAACAGGAUUAGAUACCCGCGUAGUCCCUGUCUCUUAUAC
rnacentral:rRNA from 1 species